AUGAAUGAAUAUAGAGUUUGGGUUGUAGCUGACCUCCCCAGAGGUAUGUGCACGCCCCUUCUCUUUCAUCCACACACCCCUGUGCACUUGUGAGACGGAGAAGCUCAGUUUCCUUUCGUUAGGAGACUUUGUAGCUCCGUCUAUCAACACAUAAAAUCUAAUUUAAUUAAUCUGAAUGUAAUUUGAUGUAACGCAUCUAAUAC
rnacentral:misc_RNA from 1 species